rnacentral:lncRNA from 1 species
UUCCUGCUUUUUCGACGAAAACUUCCCUCACUGGGUCCACUGCUUCAUGGCGGUCCACAUCUAACCCAAAUUCAGAAGGGAAAAACCUCUGUUUCACAUCAAAAUUCAAGGUUCAAUUAGCACUAAGCAAAUUGAACCAGAGAUAAUUAUAGCCAAUGAAUAAAUAAUUAAGUUACCUUGAUGUUUCCAGCUUCUUUGAUUGCUGCAAUGAUCUUGACCUGAUCUAGAAUUAGAAGUCUACCUGUUGUGCAGAUGACAAUAUCAACUUGCUUCAUUGCCUUAACCAAACUUUCAUGAUCACUUAUGUCACCCUGCAGCAUCAUGCACAAUUAAUCAAACAGAAUCAGAACAGUGAACUAGUUUGAGAUUAGUUGUAAAAUUGAAAUGAAUAUAGGUCAUGUUUGGAUACGGACUACAUAACACUUAUUGGAGCUUAUCUACUAAAAAAAACAGCAAAUAAGUGUUCGCGCAUUCAAACAGACUCAUAUACAUAUUCAAAUCACAUAUUUACAUACCUCUAGGAGAAUAACUCCUAAACUUUUGAAGUUGUCGAUGAGCUCUUCUUUGGUUUCAGGAUUAGCAGCUGUGAUGAGCUUUGGCUUCUCAAUAGUGACACUGUUCUUCCUCACCAAAGCGUAUGUUGGGUUUCCUGCUUUGACACUUGCCCAAAUUACAUGUCUUCCAAUUGCUCCUGUGGGUCCGAUCACAAGGAUUCUGUCUUGUGGUGCCAUCAGAAGUCAGAACAAUUAGAACUUAAUUUGUUGUGAAAUUAACAACACAAGAGACAAGCACAACACUAGUGUGUUUUGCUACUUAACAAAAGAAGUAGUGAGAGUGCUGUGGUUGUGGUGCAAAGAAUAACACUUUGCUUGGUAUUUAUAAUAAGGUUCCUAGACAGUGUAGCAUGGCACCAACCAUAUUAUUGAGUCAAUUACUAUACAUUUUGAUUUUCCUCAUGACGACGCCAGUCGCCAUCGGCAGCCUUCUAGUCUAAAUUGGCUCCUUCAAGCACUGUCUCUACUCGAUUACUGCCACUCUGUUUGAACUUUGAAUUUAUCUAGUAAACAUUAAUUCUAUAUAAAAUUGAUGACUUCAUUUAUGAAUCAAGACAACAUUAGUUCACAAGUUAAAAGUGGUUUGUUUGCAAAUUAAUUUUAUCAAAUAAGGAGUACGUUCUAAAUAAUAUAUGUAUUAAAUGUUAGGAAUACAAUCAAAAAAUGUUAGGAAUAAACUAAAAAUAUGGUUUAUGGAUUAACCCUUUUUAUUUUGAUUAAAAUUGCCUUGGUUUCUAAUUUCAAUUCUGUUAGUUUUAAUUCAUGUGUAUAGAAAAGCUAAUAAUGUUGCGCGUACAGCAUACUCUUGCUAAAUUUUCGUUGACGCAUGAAGAUGAGACUUUGUUUAAUUGUUUUUUUUUUUUGAUAAACCAAAGAAUUGUAUUCAAAUUUAGCACAAGGGGUACUAAUCCCAAAUAUAAGAAGAGAAAGGAGAAAAAAUAAAAAUACAAAAAUCAACCCAAACCAGGUCCAUGCACUCACCAGACGCAAGGCACAAACACCAGACAGUUAAAACCCACCCAAUUACAAGCCAGACCCUGCCAAAACUAAUUAAUAAGCUAAAAUUGAUUAAUGUAGCUUCUCUUUUUCGUCAAAAAAAUUGAUUAUGAUUUUUUUUUAAAAUUGAUUAUGCAAAAAGCGACUUUAAGUAAAAUGAUUUAUAUUUAUAUAUAUAUAUAUAUAGAUACAUUUAUUAAUUAAUUAACGAGAGAAAGUGAAUCUAUAAGUGAUAAUGUGAAGUUCAACUAUAGAAUCUCAUAUUUCACUUGUUGAAGUUAACUUUGUAGCUUAAUUAUCUCAUAAUUAAUUUUAAAACUAUUAAGUUGAAACUAUUACGUAUUAUAUUACAUGUAACAUAUUCAUUAUUAUUAAAUAAAAUAAAUCUCACCAUAUAUCCAGAGUUUACUAUCUAUCUACUGUCCUCGUAAGAUAACUCAAGUGGUAGGAGUUAGGGGACAUAUGAGUUGGUGAGAGAAAGGAGUAAUUCUUCCGAUAACAUUUUUGGUGAUAUUUUUGACCGAUGUUAUCACCCAUUCAAGAAAAUGUUGUAUUUUUUUUUUACAUCGGAAAGAUAAAUUGCACCCUUUAUGAAUUAAUCUUUGAACCCCCUCACCCCAAUAUAUAUGUUCCCUAACUCUUACCGAAAGGGUUGUAUAUUUUCAUCAACAAAUGUUAUUUUCAAGAUAACUUCUACUCUUAUUUUAUGGGUCUAACUUAUUUAUCACUAGCUAGAUUAACACUUAGUUGAUAUAUUUUUCAGUGAUACGGUGCAAUAUGAUUGAAUGUUUGGAUUAAAAAUAAUAAUUGUUUUAUCAAAUUAAUGAACAAGAAGAUGGUCUGAUUAGUGAGUACUUUUCUUUUUCGCAUGAAAAGGAAGUCAUAAAUCAAACAACGGAACGUUCAAACCAUGAAUCACUUUUACAUAAAAAUAUUACAAAUAUUGAACAGAAAGAAGAAAGGGAUAAAAAAACACAUAAUUUCGUGGUCUAACGUUAGACAUGAGCAGCCCAUGCUGAAAAGUCACAGUUCUGAUGUUCUUCAUCAUAAUAUUGUUUAUGUCUCUAAUUCUUGCUCUAAUUAGUAUUGGUAGGUAGUAAGUAUAACUAAGCUACCCUCACUUCACCACAUGAUAAUAAGAAAUUGUUCAAAUGGUGACGCUGUCGUCCACCGACGAUUGGACUCUUCCACAGUAGUGGAUAAUGCUAUUUUCAUAUUUUAAAUAUAAUUAUAUCUUAAGAGAGAUAGAACGAUUAGAGGGGAAAAUGAAAGGUACGUGCUAGAUAAUGUAAUGUAAUGAAAUAUAUAAAAAAGAGAAACGAGUGAAAAUAAGAUAGAAGAAAAAAUAAUGUGUGAUGAAUACUUGAACCACCCUUCCUUAAUAAUUGACUACAAUAAAAAAAUAUGAUAUUAAUAAUUAUACACUAAUUGAGUAGACAAAGUGACAAACUUACAAAAAAAAAUUAUUUGAAAGAAAUUUAUUAAUAAAAUGAUCAAACAAACAUAGAAGAAGCUAUUACAUCAAACCGAACAUGUGGGGUGGAGGUCACUUGGAGGCGCCUCUUCAACUCAAAUAGAAGUGAGAAAAAAAUAGGCGGUUUUAAUUAGUUAGGUAGUUUACAACAUAGUAGUUACUAGAACAACGAACAAAGGAAAAAAAAAAUCAAAAGCUGAAGUUAAGUAUCUACAAUCAUUAAUAACAAAAACAAAAUACAAGUUGAUCAUGCACCCUCCUAUAAUAACGAACACCGUAAAGUUGCAAGCUAUUUGUCUCAAAGCGCACUUUUCAGAAGCCUAAGUCAGAAGCAAAGGACAAGUCCACACAACAUAUUCAAAGGACAAGCCCACACAGCAACCAAGACCUCCCUGAAGUGAUCGCGAGCAACGAGCCCCAAGCGUGCGUCCUUCACGACGCGUCAAAAUUAACCUUCGCAACAUCAUCAGAAGGUCGUUGCCAAGAGGAAGGAAGCCCACGAUGGAAUGUGCAUUUGAUCUUACGGGAGUGGGACGAAACCAUUAAGGAUGAAGUGCUUGUCAUAAGUCGCUCGUGUGAAGGUUGGACACCCUUAAAAAUAAGAUGACUUCUAGUCUCCCAAAUCGCAUAGAUCAAGGACAUAUGUAGGGAAUAACAGCUGCACAACGAUCUUUUCACAAUGCUGUUGAAAUUUGUCAAUUCAAAAAACUAUUGAUUAAUUCUUUAAGAAGAAUGAGUUCAAUGAUGGCAAUCAACCUCAAACUACUGCUAUAUCAUUAAAUGUUAGUACAUGCUUAAAUAUUCCACCACAAGAUGAAUGACCUUCAAAAUGUAGAAUAAUGUAGCUAUAAAAAUGGGUGCUAUUGAUUAGAUUGUGAUCUUAGAUUGCGUGCAAUAAUUUGAGUUUCCUUUUAAUCAAAGAAAUGAAAUCCAUUGUGUUUAUCUCAAGGUCGGUCAAUAUCAAUCAAGAAAUAUAUAAUUUCUUUUUUUAUGAGAAGUUGAUAAUGUUGACAAUUUCAAGCUUAUUGGUUCGAAGCACAUUCAUGCUGGUUGGUGCACUCACUUGAGAAUGAUGGUAUUUAUUGUCUAUCGUGUUAUCUCUUUGGCAAGAAUGAACCAGACAACAACUGCAUUUAUAGCUGAUGGGUUUUGUAAAUGUAAGAAAAUCAAUGAAGAAGGAGUACAUUGUCCUUGAAGGAAAAUUAUCGUCUCUCCUCAUAUAUCUGUCAAAUAUUAAGGAUAGCAAGAACCAAUCUCUAGUACAUCUAAAUAUUAUUUGGAAAGCAAGCUUGGAAAAUAACCGAAGCUUAAGACAAUUGAUGGUAUUUGUUGUAGCAUAAUUUUGAUUAUUGAAAGGAAAUGCACAUGUCAUGUCUAGUUUUAUGAAAUAUAUGUUAUUUUGCAUGAUUUAAAUUUUACAUAAUUGCUAAUAAUAAAUGUUAUAUAAUUUUGUAGUCACUGAAAAUUUUAUUUAGUGAUGUUAAUUUAAUUUCCACCCCUGCCUGUUUUUUCUUGUCCCGUGGCCGGGAGAAAGGUCCAAUGAACAAGUGUGAGCACUGAGCAGCCAUACAAUAGGAGGACAAAAGAGAUUAUAUUAUUCAAAAUGAAUUACAUCAACGGGAUGUGAUUAUUCACGAGAGGACAGGCACAAAUAACAAACAAUGGAAAUAGUUUAAAGCCUGAUAAAUCAUUUUUUUCUCAAAAUUCAGACAAACUGGUUCAAAUAUUCAUCUACGGUGGUGAAUUUGACAUCAGGGUAAAGCUCAUGAGCCUCAGCAUCCUUGGCAGGGUCAAUCUCAUACACUGCAUCUCCCUUUAACUGCUGUGAGUGGUACAGAGCCAAUAGGUAGUUGUGAGGGAAACCAGAUUCUGUUGCAAAAACAUAAACACCCACAUCAGAAAUCAAAACAAGAUCAUUAAUUAAUUUAAGUAAAUUGAUGCAUGUAAGUAUGUAACAUAAUUAAUACUCAUGUUUAGUUGAAUAUUGUGAUUUGUGAAGUCUAAUUAAAAUGAGUUUUUGUAACUGACCCUUGAUGUCCUUAAGAACUUGUUCCUCAGGAACAUAGGUUUUCUCCAAAGUCUUCCCAAUCUUCUUCUCCCACAAUGCCAUGAUCUCAUUUGCUGUCAAAUAAUUAGCAGGGAGUCUUAUGUGGACAGCCUUGUUCAAUGUUCUGGGAUCGUUCGCGGCUAAGACGGUGAAAGUCCCCACAUCUGCCUCAGUGAUAUAAGCUCCUGAAAUUAACAAGUAAAUCAAAUAUAUAAUCAAUAUACACCCUUAUUGAAGCAAUUCAUCAAACAUUACUGUGUGUGCUAAAACUGUUUAGAAUGGACUAAUUGAGGUGUUUCAUGUUUGUGAUUGUUAGAUGAUUACCUUUGACAUUUCCAUCUCCUAGAAUGAUGACC